rnacentral:rRNA from 1 species
AUACGUAGGGUGCGAGCGUUGUCCGGAAUUACUGGGCGUAAAGAGCUCGUAGGUGGUUUGUCGCGUCGUCUGUGAAAUUCCGGGGCUUAACUCCGGGCGUGCAGGCGAUACGGGCAUAACUUGAGUACUGUAGGGGAGACUGGAAUUCCUGGUGUAGCGGUGAAAUGCGCAGAUAUCAGGAGGAACACCGGUGGCGAAGGCGGGUCUCUGGGCAGUAACUGACGCUGAGGUGCGAAAGCAUGGGUAGCGAACAGGAUUAGAUACCCUGGUAGUCCAUGCCGUAAACGGUGGGCGCUAGGUGUAGGGGUCUUCCACGACUUCUGUGCCGUAGCUAACGCAUUAAGCGCCCCGCCUGGGGAGUACGGCCGCAAGGCUAAAACUCAAAGGAAUUGACGGGG